rnacentral:rRNA from 1 species
AUUGAACGCUGGCGGCAUGCUUUACACAUGCAAGUCGAACGGCAGCGCGGGCUUCGGCCUGGCGGCGAGUGGCGAACGGGUGAGUAAUACAUCGGAACGUGCCCAGUAGUGGGGGAUAGCUCGGCGAAAGCCGGAUUAAUACCGCAUACGACCUGAGGGUGAAAGCGGGGGAUCUUCGGACCUCGCGCUAUUGGAGCGGCCGAUGGCAGAUUAGCUAGUUGGUGGGGUAAAGGCCUACCAAGGCGACGAUCUGUAGCUGGUCUGAGAGGACGACCAGCCACACUGGGACUGAGACACGGCCCAGACUCCUACGGGAGGCAGCAGUGGGAAAUUUUGGACAAAGGGCGAAAGCCUGAUCCAGCAAUGCCGCGUGUGUGAUGAAGGCCUUCGGGUUGUAAAGCACUUUUGGCGGGAACGAAAAGGACUGUGCCAAUACCACGGUUCGAUGACGGUACCCGCAGAAUAAGCACCGGCUAACUACGUG